GUGAGGGCAGGCUGGGAGAGAAUCAAAGGAUUAUAUAAAAUAUUGUUUGAGAAAUAUAUCAGGGGAAUGAAUCUACAUGAAGGGGAAACAGCAUCGAUGGUCACUGUAAAAUGUUUCUUUGGUGGCAGACUUGCUGAUAUACUAUUGGUAGGGUUUCUGGAUCGCUGCCAUUCCUAUAAGUAUGCGGGAGGCAUUAGCUGUUUUUCCAGUUCCUCGCUGUCCUCAGAUGAACUAAGCACCGCUGCCAAGAAUCCGGCACAGUUUAUAGAAGGUAACUGGGUUAGAAGCCAACAGUGUAUUUCAGCGACAAAAAGACGGAAAGGAUUGUUUGGCAAAAUCAUACCUUGUGCUCCGUGUCACCUGCUGUGAUGCUUCUGCUAGCUGAGAAGAUGGCAAUGUCAGGACUACCAUCUGCAUCUCUGUCACCAUAGCAACCCCUCCAAAAAGGAAAACUAAUUCUGUGAGGCCAUUUUUUUGUUAUUGUUGUGGGUGAACUUGAUCCAAAUAUACUGCCAGGCACACCGUGAUAAGGAUGGAAAGGAACAGGGAUAUGAUUGAGUGUUAUACAAGCACCAGGUCAAGGAGUUUCUUCAAGCUGAACAUACUCCAUUUCUGUUGGUGUUUAUGAUGCAGAGAAACUGGCAGUAUGACAACAAUCACAAAGAUGGAGCAUGAUACGUCUCAGCUUGGGCAAGGUGUGGAAGUGGUCUUCCAGUUUAACGUCCAUGAGUAGUAUUUGUAUUUGGCUGCAAUUUAGGAUGGCUGUGAGCCAUCAAAUAUCCUACUGGGAUGAUGUUUUCUUCUCUUAAAUGGAGAAUACUGGUCUCUCUCUAAGUUUUUUUUUUUUUUUUUUUUUUUUUUUGGAAUGACAUCACCUGUUCGUCACCACCUAAGGUGACAUAGUGUUCAGGCCAUGCCUGUAUGAAUUUUGGCACCAAAUUUUAGGAGAGAAAAAUUGUCACUUAUUUUAGCCCCAAUUUACAUUUCUCAAGCACAAAUAACUUGCAUAGAUAUAAAAUAAUAGAGGGGUAUAUACUGACUGUCUGGUUAUUAACUAUUAGACCUAUAUUAAGAAGCUAACAAAUUUGUCAGGGUCUGAACUUGUGUACAAUCAGAAGCUUAGAAGGUGUGAUACAAAAUGUUCAUUAACUGUCUAAAAAGUACUUCAUUCACUGUUGCUUUUCUCUGCCUCUUGUACCCAGGAUGCACACCACACUAGUAAACAUCAAUUUCAUUUUCCCACAUGAAAAAAAUAAUGCAAUACAAUAGUUUACAAUGCUGUGACAAGUGACAAAAGAUGAAAUCUUUCUGAUUGUAAGUUAAAUUCAAACUCAGUGUAGCCCAGCAACCCCAUAGCAUGGAGCAAGGGGUUACCCAUGUGCUGGACAAUCUGACUCAUAUUACCACACACUGGCAAUUACAAAGAGUCAUGCAACCCCCUCCUCUCAACAUAAAGCCUUUUGGGAUUUCUGCAUUUUCUUCUGUUCUUUCCAUGUAGACAGGGGCAACAGGAACCUUGAGCUCUGACAAACUUGGAAACAACUUGGGCCUCCUCUGUUACAUAUGUGUGGCCCUGAAAUUGCAACAUGAAGUGCCACUAGUCAGGUUCAAGCUGACGUGGUACCCAUGAAAACAAGGGGGAUGGACGUCCAGAAGGUUUGCCAGCUGAAAUUCACCAGAAAUUCAGCUUUUGCCUUUUUGACACUAUACUCUUAUAAGGGUUGAUCCAUUACAGAAUCUAUGUCAGUCCUCUGAGCUGAGUUUAUCAUAAUUUAUUUUCUCUAGAAGAACAUUUUAUAUUGUUGCCUAUUUAGGUAAAUGUCAUCUGGGAGAACCUAGUAUUCAUAUUCAUAGCAGUGACUGUUAAAUUAAUGAAUGGUGCAGCAUGUGGCUUGCACACAGUUUUGAUGGAAGUUGUCACCUGUGGUGCUAGCAAAGUUAUGUCAGCUCAAUGAUUUAAAAACACAAAUUCCCAGUAUGUGGCUUUCAACUGAGAAUUAGGCACAAGGGGUUAAAAACAAACCAGACACCUAACUAGAUACAAACCUGCACUCAGGAACUGUUCUUUUCCACUCCUCUGCAGUGUUUGAAUAGGGCACCAUUGCAGAACCCAGAUAGAACACUGUGUGUGGGCAGGGGGUCUGUGGAUCUUAUGUUUGUUUUGCUUCAGGAAUGUGUUACCGUACACAGCUAGAUGUCUAAGGGAGAAGAAAUGACUCUUGAGUUAAGGUGGUUUUCCAUUCAAAUGCUGGGCUUCCCAUCCCAGGUUCUUCUCUCCCAUUGGUGGUAACAGCAGGGCCAAUGGCAUGCGAGUGUCCUGCUAGUAUGAGGUUGGCACACCAAUAAUGAUGUAAGUUUAAAAUGAAUUCACAGUGACACAGGCCAGCUUAGUGUGUGGACAAGAAAGCAUAUGCAACUUCACUUCACACAGGGGAUACACGUGGUCCCAACAAAUUCUGUACAGGAGAAACUGGUGUUGCUUUUCCUAUGAAUGAGGAAAGUGUUUUGCAUGUCACGCAUUGACUCCGUUUGUUUCAAUAAGCCGUUCUGUGUGGUAGUUGUGAGCAACCUGAGGUAAAAAUUCACACCUUGGCAGCUGUGAAUUUUAUAUGCGAAGGCAAACCAAAUCUCCCCAACGCAGGGAGAUCAGACGUGGCACUGGCAGCAGGCAGUGGGAGCAGAGCCGCAUUUUUCAGCUAAUGAAGCGCAGUCCCCCUGCCUGCAAGCGGCCGUGACACAGACGUCUGGAGCCGAGCUUCGCUGUAUGUGGCAACAGCUGAUUAGAUUACUGAGCCCAGGAUGCUGGGAGCAUUACAGCCACCCAGCCUCUCACCUCGUCUGCUCUCUUUUCCCCUCACCUUGCCUCGUUGCCCUCCUCCCUGCCACCGCCACCCCCACCCCCACCCCUGCCACCAUCCUCGAGCAGAGCAACAACGCCUCCCUCAGGCUCCAGGGAGCAUGUGCUAUCUUUUACUUCACCCCCUCAAGCAGGCCUGGCAGAGGAAUAAAUAGCAUCCAAGGGAAAAACUAAAAUCUUUUAAAAGUCUCAUUCGCCUUUGGUGUUUUUCCCACAGUAGUCCACACAGGCUUCUUGGUAAAGCAGCCUGAACGUGGCUGGUUGUGUGCUAACAGAGUGUGACCUUGGCAUGCCCCAGAGAAUAUGCUGAAGGAACAGUGCCCGUGUUAGGCAAGGUCCCCCCUCU